AAUAUUGCGCAAUGGAGGGAACUCUGACGCAGCGACGCCGCGUGAGUGAUGAAGGUUUUCGGAUCGUAAAGCUCUGUCCUUGGGGAAGAAGGCGGCCUUUUAUGUUCCCUUGACGGUCGCCAAGGAGGAAGCCCCGGCUAACUACGUGCCAGUAGCCGCGGUAAUACGUAGGGGGCAAGCGUUGUCCGGAAUUAUUGGGCGUAAAGCGCGCGCAGGCGGUCUUUUAAGUCUGAUGUGAAAUCUUACAGCUUAACUGUAAGCGGGCAUUGGAGACUGGGAGACUUGAGUGCAGAAGAGGAGAGUGGAAUUCCAUGUGUAGCGGUGAAAUGCGUAGAGAUAUGGAGGAACACCAGUGGCGAAGGCGACUCUCUGGUCUGCAACUGACGCUGAGGCGCGAAAGCGUGGGGAUCAAACA
rnacentral:rRNA from 1 species